CUCAGGAUGAACGCUGGCGGCGUGCCUAAUACAUGCAAGUCGAACGAGUUUUGGUCGAUGAACGGUGCUUGCAUCGUGAUUCAACUUAAAACGAGUGGCGGACGGGUGAGUAACACGUGGGUAACCUGCCCUUAAGUGGGGGAUAACAUUUGGAAACAGAUGCUAAUACCGCAUAAAUCCAAGAACCGCAUGGUUCUUGGCUGAAAGAUGGCGUAAGCUAUCGCUUUUGGAUGGACCCGCGGCGUAUUAGCUAGUUGGUGAGGUAACGGCUCACCAAGGCGAUGAUACGUAGCCGAACUGAGAGGUUGAUCGGCCACAUUGGGACUGAGACACGGCCCAAACUCCUACGGGAGGCAGCAGUAGGGAAUCUUCCACAAUGGACGCAAGUCUGAUGGAGCAACGCCGCGUGAGUGAAGAAGGCUUUCGGGUCGUAAAACUCUGUUGUUGGAGAAGAAUGGUCGGCAGAGUAACUGUUGUCGGCGUGACGGUAUCCAACCAGAAAGCCACGGCUAACUACGUGCCAGCAGCCGCGGUAAUACGUAGGUGGCAAGCGUUAUCCGGAUUUAUUGGGCGUAAAGCGAGCGCAGGCGGUUUUUUAAGUCUGAUGUGAAAGCCCUCGGCUUAACCGAGGAAGCGCAUCGGAAACUGGGAAACUUGAGUGCAGAAGAGGACAGUGGAACUCCAUGUGUAGCGGUGAAAUGCGUAGAUAUAUGGAAGAACACCAGUGGCGAAGGCGGCUGUCUGGUCUGUAACUGACGCUGAGGCUCGAAAGCAUGGGUAGCGAACAGGAUUAGAUACCCUGGUAGUCCAUGCCGUAAACGAUGAAUGCUAGGUGUUGGAGGGUUUCCGCCCUUCAGUGCCGCAGCUAACGCAUUAAGCAUUCCGCCUGGGGAGUACGACCGCAAGGUUGAAACUCAAAGGAAUUGACGGGGGCCCGCACAAGCGGUGGAGCAUGUGGUUUAAUUCGAAGCAACGCGAAGAACCUUACCAGGUCUUGACAUCUUUUGAUCACCUGAGAGAUCAGGUUUCCCCUUCGGGGGCAAAAUGACAGGUGGUGCAUGGUUGUCGUCAGCUCGUGUCGUGAGAUGUUGGGUUAAGUCCCGCAACGAGCGCAACCCUUAUGACUAGUUGCCAGCAUUCAGUUGGGCACUCUAGUAAGACUGCCGGUGACAAACCGGAGGAAGGUGGGGAUGACGUCAAAUCAUCAUGCCCCUUAUGACCUGGGCUACACACGUGCUACAAUGGAUGGUACAACGAGUUGCGAGACCGCGAGGUCAAGCUAAUCUCUUAAAGCCAUUCUCAGUUCGGACUGUAGGCUGCAACUCGCCUACACGAAGUCGGAAUCGCUAGUAAUCGCGGAUCAGCACGCCGCGGUGAAUACGUUCCCGGGCCUUGUACACACCGCCCGUCACACCAUGAGAGUUUGUAACACCCGAAGCCGGUGGCGUAACCCUUUUAGGGAGCGAGCCGUCUAAGGUGGGACAAAUGAUUAGGGUGAAGUCGUAACAAGGUAACCG
rnacentral:rRNA from 1 species